rnacentral:rRNA from 1 species
AAGGCAUCUGUGAAGGUGCUGCAUGGUUGUCGUCAGCUCGUGCCGUGAGGUGUCGGCUUAAGUGCCAUAACGAGCGCAACCCUUGUUGUCAGUUACUAACAGGUUCCGCUGAGGACUCUGACAAGACUGCCAUCGUAAGAUGUGAGGAAGGUGGGGAUGACGUCAAAUCAGCACGGCCCUUACGUCCGGGGCUACACACGUGUUACAAUGGGGGGUACAGAGGGCCGCUACCACGCGAGUGGAUGCCAAUCCCCAAAACCUCUCUCAGUUCGGACUGGAGUCUGCAACCCGACUCCACGAAGCUGGAUUCGCUAGUAAUCGCGCAUCGGCCACGGCGCGGUGAAUACGUUCCCGGGCCUUGUACACACCGCCCGUCAAGCCAUGGGAGCCGGGGGUACCUGAAGUGCGUAACCGCGAGGAGCGCCCUAGGGUAAAACUGGUGACUGGGGCUAAGUCGUAACAAGGUAGCCGUACCGGAAGGUGCGGCUGGAUCACCUC